AUGCAUGUGUAAGUACAAGCCUAUGUAAGGUAAAACCGCGAAUGGCUCAUUAAAACAGCUAUGUUUCAUUGGAUCUGUACCAAAUUACUUGGAUAACUGUGGUAAUUCUAGAGCUAAUACAUGCACACAGAGUCCCUGACCGAGAGGGAAGGGCGCUUUUAUUAGUUUAAAACCGGUCGGCGGAUCUCGGUCCGUAACCUACCUGUGGUGAAUCUGGAUAACUUUGAGCUGAGCGCACAGUCUCCGCACUGGCGCCGCAUCUUUCAAGUGUCUGCCUUAUCAGCUUUCGAUUGUAGGUUAUGCGCCUACAAUGGCUAUAACGGGUAACGGGGAAUCAGGGUUCGAUUCCGGAGAGGGAGCCUGAGAAACGGCUACCACAUCCAAGGAAGGCAGCAGGCACGCAAAUUACCCACUCCCGGCCUGGGGAGGUAGUGACGAAAAAUAACGAUGUGAGACUCAUCCGAGGCCUCACAAUCGGAAUGAGUACACUUUAAAUCCUUUAACGAGGAUCUAUUGGAGGGCAAGUCUGGUGCCAGCAGCCGCGGUAAUUCCAGCUCCAAUAGCGUAUAUUAAAGUUGUUGCGGUUAAAAAGCUCGUAGUUGGAUUACAGUUCCGGACUGAUGGUACACCUCCCGGUGUUUACUGUCACGCUCCGAACAGCCUGGUAUUUAACAGUACAGGCCCCGCUGGCUCGCCCGGGGUGCUCUUCAUCGAGUGUCCCGAGUGGCUGGCAAGUUUACUUUGAAAAAAUUAGAGUGCUCAGAGCAGGCUACAUGAAUGGCCUAAAUGUCUAUGCAUGGAAUAAUGGAAUAGGACCUCGGUUCUA
rnacentral:rRNA from 1 species